GUUCUUGUAGUUGAUAUACAACGGUAGUUUUUCAAGUUACUAGUCCUGGUUAAAGUCCUGGUAAGAAUU
rnacentral:tRNA from 1 species